rnacentral:misc_RNA from 1 species
ACUUCCUGAGCCGGAACGAAAAGUCUUUAAGAAUGAGAGUUCUGGAGGGCUUUUGGCUUACGGUUGUGAUGUUGUGUUGUUGUGUUUGCAUUUGGUCUGCGAUUCAGACCAUCGUAGCUAAGCUACUCUUUCACUUCCUGUACAUU